GGCCUAUACAAAGCAGAAGGGUAAGCUAAAGAAGCCCUGAGGCUGCUCUGAUUUACGCCUGAAGAAAAGACAUGAGAAGGAUUGGACCUAGUUACACUGACUAUCUGAUCCCUUGGCUAUGGAGGCUGGGUCAUGACCUCCAUUUCCACCAUCACCUCCUCCUCCUGCCUCCUGCCAGUCAAGCAAUGAAGGCGCCAGUGACCAUGGUACCUUUCAUCAGAAGAUUUCAGACACUAAGGAACUCAUUCUUGCACCAUGCCCUGGAAGACAGUUCCACCUUGGGCAAUGCGCUGCCUUUCCUCCCCCAGCCUCUUUGGCUCCGGAGCCCUCCGAGGAGGCGCGAUUGGAGAGGGGGGAAUUAAUGCAACACAACACAGCACAGUACAACCGAGGCAUCAGGCCGACAGCGCAUCCGUUCCUGCUCCUGGAAGGAAACCGCAUCGAAUCCAGUUGGGCUGCAGGAACGUGAUGGGUUCUAGCAACAGUGGCCAGGUCGCCUCGGUUUCCGGUCACCUCUUCUCAUUCCUUGGCAGGGUGGGAACAAAGAUCCUUCCCCCCGCCCCACAACAAAAUAAUAAGGGGAGUAUGAAAGGCCCGAGCCUUGCAGAGUUCCAGGGGCCGGGAUCAGGCUCAUUACAAACUCCCCAGAAUGUGGUAU